rnacentral:rRNA from 1 species
AGCAACACGUGGAUAACCUACCUAUAAGACUGGGAUAACUUCGGGAAACCGGAGCUAAUACCGGAUAAUAUUUUGAACCGCAUGGUUCAAAAGUGAAAGACGGUCUUGCUGUCACUUAUAGAUGGAUCCGCGCUGCAUUAGCUAGUUGGUAAGGUAACGGCUUACCAAGGCAACGAUGCAUAGCCGACCUGAGAGGGCGAUCGGCCACACUGGAACUGAGACACGGUCCAG